rnacentral:rRNA from 1 species
GACGAAGGUGGCGACCGUUGUUCGGAAUCACUGGGCAUAAAGAGCUCGUAGGCGGUGAGAAAAGUAGGGUGUGAAAUCCCUCGGCCCAACCGAGGAACUGCGCUCUAAACUGUCUUGCUUGAGGACCGAAGGGGACCACGGAAUUCCUGGUGGAGCGGUGAAAUGCGUUGAUAUCAGGAGGAACACCGGCGGCGAAGGCGGUGGUCUGGUCGGUUUCUGACGCUGAGGAGCGAAAGCUAGGGGAGCAAACAGG